rnacentral:rRNA from 1 species
UACAGGGGGUGCAAACGUUGCUCGGAAUCAUUGGGCGUAAAGCGCACGUAGGCGGUCUGUUAUGUCGGAUGUGAAAGCCCUUGGCUCAACUGAGGAAGUGCAUCCGAAACUGGCAGGCUAGAGUACUAAAGAGGAUCGCGGAAUUCCCGGUGUAGAGGUGAAAUUCGCAGAUAUCAGGAGGAACACCAAUUGCGAAGGCAGCUCGCUGGGACGUUACUGACGCUGAGACGCGAAAGCGUGGGGAGCAAACAGG